rnacentral:rRNA from 1 species
AGUGAACGCUGGCGGUAGGCCUAACACAUGCAAGUCGAACGGCAGCACAGUAAGAGCUUGCUCUUACGGGUGGCGAGUGGCGGACGGGUGAGGAAUACAUCGGAAUCUACUUUUUCGUGGGGGAUAACGUAGGGAAACUUACGCUAAUACCGCAUACGACCUACGGGUGAAAGCAGGGGAUCUUCGGACCUUGCGCGAUUGAAUGAGCCGAUGUCGGAUUAGCUAGUUGGCGGGGUAAAUGCCCACCAAGGCGACGAUCCGUAGCUGGUCUGAGAGGAUGAUCAGCCACACUGGAACUGAGACACGGUCCAGACUCCUACGGGAGGCAGCAGUGGGGAAUAUUGGCCCAUGGGCGCAAGCCUGAUCCCGCCAUACCGCGUGGGUGAAGAAGGCCUUCGGGUUGUAAAGCCCUUUUGUUGGGAAAGAAAAGCAGCAGGUUAAUACCCCGCUGUUCUGACGGUACCCACAGAAUAAGCACCGGCUAACUUCGUG